rnacentral:tRNA from 1 species
GGGGAUGUAGCUCAGUGAUAGAGCACUUGCCUAGCAAGCAUGAGGCCCUGGAUUAUUCCACCCCCA